UACAGAGGUGGCAAGCGUUGUUCGGAAUUACUGGGCGUAAAGGGCGCGUAGGCGGCCUUCUAAGUCAGACGUGAAAUCCCCCGGCUUAACCUGGGAACUGCGUCUGAUACUGGAAGGCUUGAGUGCGGGAGAGGGAUGUGGAAUUCCAGGUGUAGUGGUGAAAUGCGUAGAUAUCCGGAAGAACACCGGUGGCGAAGGCGGCCUGCUGGGCUAUUGCUGACACUGAGGCACGACAGCGUGGGGAGCAAACAGG
rnacentral:rRNA from 1 species